rnacentral:tRNA from 1 species
AGAAAUAAUUUUAAAUUAAGCUUCUAACUUAAAUUUUAAGUGGAUAACCAUUUUUAUUUC